CCACCUACGGGUGGCAGCAGUUUCGAAUCAUUCACAAUGGGCGAAAGCCUGAUGGUGCGACGCCGCGUGAGGGAUGAAGGUCUUCGGAUUGUAAACCUCUGUCACCGGGGAAGAAACGCUUUGAGUUAAUAGUUCAAAGCCUGACUUAACCCGGAGAGGAAGCAGUGGCUAACUCUGUGCCAGCAGCCGCGGUAAUACAGAGACUGCAAGCGUUAUUCGGAUUCACUGGGCGUAAAGGGUGCGCAGGCGGCCGUGUGUGUUGGGCGUGAAAGCCCGGGGCUUAACCCCGGAAUUGCACCCAAAACUACAUGGCUAGAGCAUUGGAGAGGGUAGCGGAAUUCACGGUGUAGCAGUGAAAUGCGUAGAUAUCGUGAGGAACACCAGAGGCGAAGGCGGCUACCUGGACAAUUGCUGACGCUCAGGCACGAAAGCGUGGGGAGCAAAAGGGAUUAGAUACCCCUGUAGUCCACGCCCUAAACGGUGCACACUAGGUCUUGGCGGAUUCGACCCCACCAGGGCCCAAGCUAACGCGUUAAGUGUGCCGCCUGAGGACUACGGCCGCAAGGCUAAAACUCAAAGGAAUUGACGGGGGCCCGCACAAGCGGUGGAGUAUGUGGCUCAAUUCGAUGCAACGCGAAGAACCUUACCUGGCCUUGACAUGCAGGAGACCGGCGCUGAAAGGCGCCUUUCCUUCGGGACUGCUGCACAGGUGCUGCAUGGCUGUCGUCAGCUCGUGUCGUGAGAUGUUGCGUUAAGUCGCGCAACGAGCGCAACCCCUGUCCUUAGUUGCCAUCAUUAAGUUGGGCACUCUAGGGAGACAAACCCUCUUUGAGGGUGGGAAGGUGGGGAUGACGUCAAGUCAGGAUGGCCCUUACGGCCAGGGCUGCACACGUACUACAAUGCCCGGUACAGAGGGAAGCAAUACCGCGAGGUGGAGCAAAUCCUCAAAACCGGGCCCAGUUCAGAUUGUAGUCUGCAACUCGACUACAUGAAGUUGGAAUCGCUAGUAAUGGCGCAUCAGCUACGGCGCCGUGAAUACGUUCCCGGGCCUUGUACACACCGCCCGUCACGUCAUGAAAGCCGGUUUCGCCCGAAGUGCGUUUGCCAACCAGCAAUGGAGGCGGCGCCCUAAGGUGAGGCUGGUGAUUGGGACGAAGUCGUAACAAGGUAACCGUAGGGGAACCUGCGGUUG
rnacentral:rRNA from 1 species